rnacentral:rRNA from 1 species
GAUCCUGGAAACACGAUAGAAAGAAGUGUGGAGGUCAGGAGGUGGGUGGGAGCGAAGGGUCAGCGCAUGCACACGUCAAGUGUGGUUGGGGGUGUGACUAGCGGGCGUAGACGUAGCCCUCGCACUUCCUUCUUUUUUAUCCUCCUGUACUGCGACGACACACACGGCGACCACCCCGCCUGCCAGCUCCCCUACUUCUAGCUGCGCCGCCGGCGUCGCCGGCGUCCCCCGCUGGAACAGCUCUAGGCUGACCUGAUGUAGCUCCCCAAGGCGGGCGCCCUCCUGGAAGGUGCAGACGAGGUGUCGACGGGUGAGGGGCAGGAACAGUGGAUGGCCGGAUUGACCCUUCCUCCAGCGAUACUACCACUACUACGGUGAUCUAAACUUUGUGAGACAAAUCGAUACCUUGAUCCACAUCUGAUACAACUGUAGCUCAAUUUCCAACGACUGUUUAAACAACUAAAAGAAAGACCAUUAUUCGGUCUAUUCACAUUUGAAUAACAAAGAAGUGUAUUAAUACUUUCAUGGGGUAGGACGCUCCUCGAACGUUUAGAACAUCGGUCUUAUGUUCUUCAACCUCGACUGUAUCAAUUUCAACGUUGUUGACGAUGUCUGUAACAACUACACAGUUCCUACAAGGUUCACUACCACGUGACGGUUCACGGAUACUAACCUAACCACUACUCACUCUCUCCAAACUACAGUUCCCACAAUAGGGGUUUUAAACCACCUAUAGAAUGGAAACCUUAUGAACUACGAUGAUUCUGUAGUCGUAGACCCGUUGGUUGUGAACUUCUUAAUAACCUGUAAAUGUUAUAUUCCACAUAUCCUGGACUAUGUUUUCAAGAACCAGAAUAUCGGUUGGGUCAUUUCGUCUCGUUCUCGGGUUAAAACGUGUUAUUUACAGAUGUCAGACAACCUAUGUUACGACAAAUAGAAGGUGAAGACCGUCUGCUAGAACGAUCUAAAGAACUGUGUAUAAGUAGAGGUCUAAAAAGUCCUAAAUCAACGAGAGAAGGAAAGUUUCACCUACGUCAUGUAACAACGGUACUUGUACUACGACAACGAUUCAGUUAUCCACGGUAUUUGUGAUAUCAAUCCUUUAGUCUACCGUUUAAUCACCCGAUGUUAUGUCUGAUGUAACCUCGUUAAAGACGAUAACUCCUACCGUAUCCUCCAGACCCCAGUUUCCUACGACGAUACAGUGGUAACAGACCGUCCGAAUAACAACAACAUCCACGACCACCACGACGAUUCCGUUAACGGAUACCCCGUUUCUUCUUCCCACGUUCUCAACAUCAUCGUUUAGCAUGGAUACUUUUCCGUCAAUGAGAACGGUUACGUCAACCACCGGUCCGGGACUCCAAUCGGCUGGACCUUUUAAAGUCCGGACUUCUUCCCUGCUAGGAGCGAUUACGUUGUAGUAACCCCUACAUGGGUUUACAACUACCGUGAGGACAAGGCUUCUUUCGAAAUUCCAAGAUACUACAUCACAAACUACGCCAUAUACGGGGUUUUCAAUGGGCCGAAGAUGCUCUUCGUUUUCUUGUACCUCACUUUCAACAAUCGCCACAUCUCUACAAACAAUCUGUUCGGUACCCGGUUAAACUCGUAAAGUGACCACCAUAUCUUCGAGGACUUUCGGACUACGCGCUCUAUCGUCGUGUCAUAUGGAUCGUCCAAGGAAACAGGUAGAAAACCGUAGAAGUAGCAUGUCCGACUACCACUUUAUUGACCGAACCUGUUUAAUCGGGUUUCUAAGAAGUUCUACUCACCUAUAGUUUAAAACUGCGGAUGGGUAAAAAGGUGACACCCCCGAAUCACAUUACAGUUCAUAGUGGAUGAACAGUGGACUAUAUCUCUAGAUUUAUUUUUCACAACGUAAGCAGAACAAUAGUUGCAUAUUCAUCAUUUUUCCCCGUGUGCUUAUUUCUCUUUUAAGUCCAAGUUUAGUUUAGUAUAACUGUUUUUCCUUUACAGUAUUGAUACUAAGCCACCAACGUACGAAAAACAAAAUGUACGCCACCAACGUACAAAAAACAAAAUGUACACCACCAACGUACAAUGAGGGAAGUAAAGAAAAAUGAGGCGCAUAUUCAAAACCAGUUUCAGUUUGAUGUGUUUCAAACUGGUUUAAAUAUAAUUUUUUA